rnacentral:lncRNA from 1 species
GUACCUGUCCAGAUAGAUGUCAACGGAUCGGAUUCGGUGUAGAUUUUCAAAAAUCCGAACCCGAACCCAACUCUAAACCCGAGACCCGAACCUGAAUCCGAACCCGAUGGAUUUUAAAAAUCCAUAUCCAAACCCGAACCCGACCAAAAAUCCGAAACCCGAACCAGAACCCGAACCCAAAAAUUUGAAUCCGAAAUAAUUAUUUUUUUUACAAUAUUUCAAAAUAUAUUAUAUUAAAUAUAAAUUUUUAAAAUACAAAUUCAAAUAUAACAUCAAAUUUUUAUAUAUUUAUUAUAUAUAAUACAAUAUAAAUUUAGUUUCGGGUCGGGUUCGGGUUCGGGUUCGGGUCGGGUACAAUCAAAAUCCAUAUCCGAAUCUAUAUCCGUCGAAUUUCUAUUUUUGAUAUCCAUAUCUGAAUUCAUAUCCAUUUAGCAUCAGAUAUAUUCGUUUCAUUCGAGUUCGGGUUCGAUACAAUUUCGAGUUUCC